GGGCCCGCACAAGCGGUGGAGUAUGUGGUUUAAUUCGAUGAUACGCGAGGAACCUUACCAGGGCUUAAAUGUAAGUUGCAUAAGCUAGAGAUAGCUUUUUUCUUCGGACUACUUACAAGGUGCUGCAUGGUUGUCGUCAGCUCGUGCCGUGAGGUGUCAGGUUAAGUCCUAUAACGAGCGCAACCCUUGUCAUUAGUUGCUACGCAAGGGCACUCUAAUGAGACUGCCGGUGACAAACCGGAGGAAGGUGGGGACGACGUCAAAUCAUCACGGCCCUUACGUCCUGGCCACACACGUGCUACAAUGGCCGGUACAGAGAGCAGCCACUACGCGAGUAG
rnacentral:rRNA from 1 species